rnacentral:tRNA from 2 species
GCACUCUUAGCUCAAUGGAAGAGCAGCGACCUUCUAAGUCGCAGGUUACAGGUUCAAAUCCUGUAGGGUGUA